UUCAAAUAUUUCUGUUAUUGCCUGCUUCACAGCGGUAGCACACAAAAUAUGCUAGCUAUUUUAUUUUAUUUGAACGUUACGUGAAUGAGUCUGAGGGCAAAAUGUCAACUUAUAAUAUGUUCCAGUCAGAAACAACAUCGAUUAUGGCUUUUGUCGUCGAGACUGUAAUGAAAGAAAUUAGCCAUCUUUCAAACGCGCAACACUCGGACGCUAACGACUGCAGUAAACCUGAGAGAGAGCUUUGCACCAUGAUGAAUCUGGUGAUGGGGGAGGCUAUUCGUAAAAUCUGCCAACUAUUCCUAGUGACCACCUCACGUUUACAAAAUGAAAAUGGGAAACUGAAAACCAAGGUGGAGCAGAUGGAGGAAGAUAUGAAGACAAUAACUGAGAAGGCUGAACAUUAUAGAAUGUCUCUAGCUAAAGUAGAGGCACAAGCGGAACCGAAAGGACCUACCCAUGUUCUGCACAAUGGAAUCAUCUUUGCAAUUAAACCACUUGAUCUCCCAGUGUUGCCUGGAAUGACAGUGGGUUCAGCAUUGCCAGGGAAUGUCAGUCAAGCAAACCCUGUCACUAACGCAGCAUCAGUCCGUGCAGGUCCUGCAAAUGUUUGCAGUAAACCCACAGAGACGUCUUCAUUGGAGAACGACUCCUCUCUGGGAGACACAGAUGGACUGAAUACAGACCUCUCCCCAAGAGACACUGACUCCAACGUUGAGCAUAUGAGAGCUGCUCUGCCAGGGAGCAACGAGAGAGAUGGCCAUGAAAGCCAGAAAAACAGCAAUACUACUAAAGGGACACGAUCCAAAGAAACCAAACGCUUCAAGUGUGAUAUUUGUGAGAAGAUCUUCAGCAAGAAAGAGUUGUUGAGAGUUCACAAGUUAACGCAUACAAGACCCUUCAAGUGCGAUGUGUGUCAGAAGACCUUCACCAGGAAGGGGUUACUGGAAGCUCACAAGCUAAGUCACACAAGACCCUUCAAGUGUGAUGUUUGUGACAAGGUCUUCAACCUGAACCGCUUGCUGGUACGUCACAAGCUAAUUCACACAGGAGAGAGGCCAUUCGCUUGUGGUCAAUGUGGCAAAACAUUCAGAAUGUCCAAGCAGCUCGAACAUCACAUGGUGCGUCACAGAGAAAAAAUAUUCAGUUGCAAAGUUUGCGACAGUAUAUUCCCUGCCAAGAAAGAUCUGACACAACAUCGGCUUGUUCAUGCUUUGGAGAGACCGUUCAAGUGCCUGACUUGUGGAAAGGGUUUCACAUCAAGGGCCGCGCUUAUGGGGCACGAGAGAACCCACACCGGUGAAAAACCACACAGCUGUGCUGAAUGUGGGAAGAGUUACAGACUGUCUUAUGACCUAAGUAUUCAUAUGCGAAGACAUACAGGUGAACGUCCGCACUUAUGCUCAGAGUGUGGUAAGAGCUUUAUAACUAAAUCCAGCCUUGAAAACCACAAGGUAAUCCAUACAGGGGAGAAGCCAUUUAAAUGUGAGACCUGUGGAGCUGCUUUUGGCCAUAAAGCAAACCUUCAGAGACACCAAGUUCUUCACACAGGGGAGAGACCUUACAAAUGUAAAGUGUGUGGGAAAAGCUACCUUCAGUCCACCGACCUAAAAGCUCACAUGCACCGUCAUGGGGCAACCAAACCAUUUAUGUGUGACCUAUGUGGAAAGACUUUUAUUUACAAUUACCAAAUGAGACAGCACAAUAUAAAAUGGCACACAGCUGAAGGAGAGAACAUUCCUGGGGGAGUUGGAACCUUGACAAAGCCAUUCAGUUGUGAUGUAUGUUUGAAUGGCUUCUGCUCCAUGCUAACUCUGAAAAAGCAUCAAGAAAUUCACACAGGACAAAAUCAAUACUCUUGUUCUGUUUGCGGGAAGACCUUUGCCUAUAAAAAUACUUUGGACUAUCACAUGAAACUUCACAGUGGAGAGAAGCCCCAUGAGUGUAAAUACUGUGGAAGAAAAUUCAUUCUUAAGCAAGCUCUCAAAGGACAUGAGCGAACCCAUACAGGUGAAAAGCCCUUCAAAUGCAGUUAUUGUGACAAGACUUUCUCAGUCAACAGCAAUCUCAAAAGGCAUGAGCGAGUCCACACGGGAGAGAAGCCAUUCAAAUGUGACGUCUGCGGGAGAGGUUUCAGCCAAGCCAACAACGUCAAAGCCCACAUGCAAGUCCACACUGGAGUUAGGCCUUAUUAUUGCAAGAGAUGUGGAAAGGGCUUUUCUGACAUAAGACACUACAAAAACCAUAGCUGUAAUGGUGUGGCAGUGACACGCAAUCAGUCUCGUAAACCUUCUGACCGCACUUUCAGAAGUAGGAAAGGAGGUAGAGACAGGAGUGCUUGCCAUAAUGCUGCUGUGAUGUCGACUCAGUGAUAUAAUCAUUCAUUCACAGUGGGGCAACUUCCUGCUUUCAGACAUCAGGAACAACAUGGAUGUAUUCAGUAGGGUUAAAAGUUCUCGGGUGAGUUUCUGGAAAGCCUCGUAGGAAAUGAGAGGCAUAUCUGUCGUAAUGCUUGGAGAUUUUGCUGUAAGUCUUAGUCAAUGUUCAUGAGCCCACAUUGUCAUGGAGACGUUGUAUAUUUCUGACUGUGUUCAAUCAUUUACCAUGUGUUAUUUUCUUUUCUGUUGUGUAACUCCUUAAACACCUAAUUAAUGUGAAAAUAUCAGAACUACACAUUAAUACUUUGUCCAUCAGCUACAUAGGACCGCUUGAUUAGUUAUUCAGGUGAUUGUCCUGAUUGGGCAAGAAUUUUGAAAGAAUUCUUGUUUUUAAAGGUCCAAUUUGGCUGUUUCUAUAUCAAUAUCAUAUAAUUUAUUGGUAACAAUUGAAGUACCUAAUUUUUGCUUGUUUUCAAUUAAAAUGGUCAAAUAUAUAUUUUAAAAUCA